CAGAAAUAAGAAAUGUUGAAAUACAGGUGCCAGGAAAAGAAACAUUAGGCAUAAACAAGGGUGCUAAUGGUGAAACAUUAACAGAAGAUUGGUAAUAGUUAGUAAGGAAAUAAGAUAUGCAUGCCUAGCUCAGGUAAACUUAUCAGAUUCUGCUUCCUUUAUUAUCUUGUUAAGUUCUCGCCCUUUUAUCUGUAUAAAUAAGAUAGUUUGUGUCUUGCAUGGUGCUCACAUUAUCUGGGUGUUAUUAGCAAAGCGCUGUGCUAAUAAAACAGAGUGGUCUGACAAA